CAUGAUCCUUUUAGCCAAUCAGAAUUGCGUAGAUAAUUCGUCACGACGUCACCAAACACGCCCACUGAAGACGCUCUCAAUCGGCCAUUUUGGGAGGGCAAUUGUGUUUUUGUGGGAGGUGUUAGUAAUAGUCUUCUUCUUAUUAUUAUUAUUUUUGCCUUUUAUAUGGGGAAUUUUGAAAGCCACCGUAGACCCAAGCGUCAGUAUAUUAAUGUCUACACAGCUGUCGCCUAAUACAUGACAUGUACACUCUCUGGAAUGACAGUCUCAGUGAGUCUCUCGGUUACAGUUCAACAAUGAAUGAGGAAAAUGGCACAAGAUUCAGCGGGGAAAGACAUCACACAGACAGAAUGAGAACCACUCGACACACGAAGAUGUGCAGGAAUAGGUUAAAACGGGACCUUGCAUUGGUAAAUAAUACAAAUACAUUUUGUUACAAAUUAGAAAAAACGGUGAACGUUACCACUCUGAUGUGUAAAAAUACCUUUCAAUGUGUACAUUUAGGUGUCAGUUUUAGCUAUGGUCUGCCAACCCCCAAGAAAUAAUUUCAGUUGGAUUCUCAUAAUAUGAUAAAGGAUUUAGCUAAAGUAAGGGGGUGAUUUCAAUGAACAAAGUGACCCCAUAAUGUGAGUAACGAGUAUAUUUCGAGGACCAAUAGAGAUAGAUAGAUAGAUAGAUAGAUAGAUAGAACUUUAUUGUAAUUGCAUAGUACAAGUACACAGCAACAACAUGCAGUUUAGCAUCUACCGGAAGUGCAAAUAGUAGAAUUGUUCAAAUGAACAAGUGCAGUUAAUAAAAUUUAUGUACAACAAGUACA
rnacentral:lncRNA from 1 species